UGGGGAAUCUUGCGCAAUGGAGGAAACUCUGACGCAGCUACGCCGCGUGCAGGAAGACACCCCUAUGGGGCGUAAACUGCUUUUCUGCGAGAAGAAGGCCGCUCUCCGAGAGGAGAGGGCUUGACGGUACCGCAGGAAUAAGGACCGGCUAACUCCGUGCCAGCAGCCGCGGUAAUACGGAGGGUCCAAGCGUUGUCCGGAAUUACUGGGUGUAAAGGGUGUGCAGGCGGACGGGUAAGUCAGUGGUGAAAGCCCGCAGCUCAACUGCGGAAGUGCCAUUGAAACUACUCGUCUUGAGUCCCGGAGGGGUCAUCGGAAUUCGUGGUGUAGCGGUGAAAUGCGUAGAUAUCACGAGGAACACCAGAAGCGUAAGCGGAUGACCGGACGGUGACUGACGCUCAGGCACGAAAGCGUGGGGAGCAAACAGGAUUAGAUACCCCCGUAGUCC
rnacentral:rRNA from 1 species